GGAUUAGAUACCCUGGUAGUCCACGCCGUAAACGAUGUGAACUAGUCGUCGGGUCUUAAGGCUCGGUGACGGAGCUAACGCAUUAAGUUCACCGCCUGGGGAGUACGGUCGCAAGAUUAAAACUCAAAGGAAUUGACGGGGACCCGCACAAGCGGUGGAUGAUGUUCUUUAAUUCGAUGCAACGCGAAGAACCUUACCUGGUCUUGACAUCCUGCGCUAUUCCUGGAAACAGGAAGUUCUCUUCGGAGACGCAGUGACAGGUGUUGCAUGGCUGUCGUCAGCUCGUGCUG
rnacentral:rRNA from 1 species